ACAGAGGCUGUCGGCUGCAGCAGGAGAAUGGGAAGCCUGGACCUCCCCUAGUGAAAUAAUCAAGACAGCCUGCAGAAGGAAAGCCUGGAGAUCAUCAUUGGAAUGAGCCUAAAGAUGGUAUAAGAGGUGUUCCUGCAACCAGGAAUCUGGAGAGGAACAGGUAAACAAAGGCGUGUGGAGUAAGGAAAUUUGCCUAACAUUUUGCCCUGCCUGGGAAUUGAAGCUGGGUCCUCUCACUUGCGAGGAGUCUCACUCUUUUUCUUUCUCACACAUAUAUUGGAUGUCCUGUGAGUCAGACUAAUGAGCACAUACAGUAGGCGAAGGCAUUCGUUGGAAUCUAGAAGUUUUGAUUUUUCAAGAUUUGUGGAGUCCUGAAGCAUAUUGAUCAGAGCACUCGUAUCGCAAACAAAAGACCUAGGUUUGAUUCUCGAGCAGGGCGUAAAGUUAGGAGAGAUACCAGGAAGGUUUCUUUACACAGAGGAUAAUCAGUGACUGGAACAGAUUGUCAGGAAAAGUAGUACAAUCCAAGACACUGGACUAAUUUCAAAAGCAACUUAAUGCGUGAUUGGGAGGAACGACAGAAGGAGAGGUGUUCUGGAGGGAUAGAUCUGAUGGGCUGAAGGGCUUUCUUCAUCCAGAUUAAUCUUGUGAUCUUGUGUUGUGUUUCUCUUGUUGGGGCUCUCAUUCCCAAUACUCUUUUUUUCAAGAGCAAACUUUCAACAAGACUGCUUGUGUCAUGAAACACCAAUGCUCUCAAUCUCAGCAGUACACCCAUAAUCCGUGAUCUCUAUAACAGUAGCUGUCCAGAGGCACACACCUCAUCUCCUUCUAUUUGUAGGUCAUGUGGUGUGAACCAGGAAGUGUACAUCAGCAUCCUGCCUUCAUAUCACUCUUCUCCUUGAAGUGAAGCCGCUUCGCUGCCAGCAAUACAAAGACUGCAUGAGCCCAGUAACUGUUGACUUUGUUGGAAUACCACAGGCUGCAACUAGAACAUGGCGUAUAAAUAACACAGCUAUUGUAACUUAUUGUAAUUGCUGUGCGCAAUUGGCUGCCGCGUUCGCCCACAAAUAUACAGUCAAUUCACUUUACAGUGUGUUCUGUGAAGCGCUUUGGGACGUCCUCCCGACGUGAAAAGCGCUAUAUCAAAUGCAAGGAUUAUUAUUAUUAUUAUUACUUCAUGCUCGGUUUGUUUUAAGAAAGCAUGACCUUGGUGCGGUUCUGCUUCAUUAAAAGUCAGUUAUUGCAAAAAUACUGAUCCUUUGCACACUCUCUUUUUCGGCAGCCCUGAAGUUAGCUGUGCUGUAUUUCAAUCUCCAAACCAAAAUAAAAGCAAAUAUUACCACUGC